CAGCUGGAAAAUUUUAAACUCUCACUUAAAUUUUGGUUUAAAGAAUAAAUCAAAGGUAAAAUGUCACACCCUUAGUCAAUAACCAUAAAGGAAUUUUUUUUUUUUUUGCAGCGGAUCUCUCAGCAGAAACUCCACAAGCCAGAAGAGAGUGCGGGCCAAUAUUCAACAUUCUUAAACAAAAGAAUUUUCAACCCAGAAUUUCAUCUGCAGCCAAACUAAGUGAAGGAGAAAUAAAAUCCUUUACAGACAAACAAAUGCUGAGAGAUUUUGUCACCACCAGGCCUGACUUACAAGGGCUCCUGAAGGAAGCACUAAACAUGGAAAGAACAACCGGUACCAGCCACUGCAAAAACAUGCCAAAUUGUAAAGACCAUCGAGGCUA
rnacentral:lncRNA from 1 species